CAGUACCAAAGCCCUUCUCUAAGAUGCUGUCAAAGCCUUGAAGAAAUGGUCUGGAAGCUACCUAGAUGUUGACAAGCCCAGGUCCAAGACUUCCAGAAGCUCGUCUCAGAAGCAGCAAUGUUGGAAUCUUCCACCAAGGAAACCUAAACGACUACGGGCGGGGCAGACAGCAGAGCUUCAGCUGGCCGCCAAUGACACCUAAGCAACCAGCGCAGAGGGCCGGCCUCGAGAAGCUUCCUUAUGCGCCUAAAGAGGAUCCGCAAGCUCCCCCACCCACCAUUAGGGCACGGCCGAG